AAUCUUUAAACGCACCUUGCGCCCUUUGGUAUUCCGAAGGGCAUGCCUGUUUGAGUGUCAUUAAAU
rnacentral:rRNA from 1 species